GAGUUUGAUCGUGGCUCAGAUUGAACGCUGGCGGCAUGCCUUACACAUGCAAGUCGAACGGUAACGCGGGGCAACCUGGCGACGAGUGGCGAACGGGUGAGUAAUGCAUCGGAACGUGCCUGGUAGUGGGGGAUAACUGCUCGAAAGAGCAGCUAAUACCGCAUACGACCUGAGGGUGAAAGGGGGGGAUCGCAAGACCUCUCGCUAUCAGAGCGGCCGAUGUCGGAUUAGCUAGUUGGUGGGGUAAAGGCCCACCAAGGCAACGAUCCGUAGCUGGUCUGAGAGGACGACCAGCCACACUGGGACUGAGACACGGCCCAGACUCCUACGGGAGGCAGCAGUGGGGAAUUUUGGACAAUGGACGCAAGUCUGAUCCAGCCAUGCCGCGUGCGGGAAGAAGGCCUUCGGUUGUAACCG
rnacentral:rRNA from 1 species